rnacentral:rRNA from 1 species
AAGCUCGUAGUUGAAUUUCGGGGUUCUACCGUUGGUCGGGCUAACCAGUCUGUACUAGCGUGUAGAAUUCCUACCUUCUGGGGAACCAUCAUGUUAUUAAUUUAGCGUGGUGGGAAACCAGGACCUUUACCUUGGAAAAAUUAGAGUGUUCAAAGCAGGCUUACGUCUGAAUACAUUAGCAUGGAAUAAUAAAAUAGGACGGUGGUCCUGUUUUGUUGGUUUCUGAAUCACCGUAAUGAUUAAUAGGGAUAGUUGGG